rnacentral:rRNA from 1 species
UACAGAGGUCCCAAGCGUUGUUCGGAUUCAUUGGGCGUAAAGGGUGCGUAGGCGGCGCGGUAAGUCGGGUGUGAAAUCUCGGAGCUUAACUCCGAAACUGCAUUCGAUACUGCCGUGCUUGAGGACUGGAGAGGAGACUGGAAUUUACGGUGUAGCGGUGAAAUGCGCAGAUAUCAGGAGGAACACCGGUGGCGAAGGCGGGUCUCUGGGCCGUAACUGGACGCUGAGGAGCGAAAGCGUGGGGAGCGAACAGG